UCACAGCCACAGUUUUAAAAAGGAUGCAUUUGAAAAAAAAAAAAAAAGGAUGCGUUUGAACAGCUGUAGGCACACACACACCAGGCUCUUUGGGGAGACUUCCAGGAGAGCAGAGUUUUCCAGGAUGAAAUUAAAAGAUCCGUUCUUUGUUCCUUCACCCAAAACUUUGGGUUAGCCUGAUUGGCUGGCCCUCUCAUCUGAAGUCCAGUGCGCGGCCAGGGAUCCAACCCACAACCUCAUGGUUCCCAGUUGGAUUCGUUUUCGCUACGCCACAAUGGGAACUCCUUCUUUAUGUGUUUUUUGUUUUUUGUUUUUUUUUUAAAGCAAACACACCUCUUACAGAAAUUAUCUCACGAUCCAAAACUCAGAUACCCACAUCUGAAAGAUGCUAAUAAGUGAAUAUAAAAAGAGUUCCCUGACCAAGGAAGUUGUAAGAGCUCUGGUUUAAGCCUGAAGCAGGUUUCUGCAGUACAGGACUUCUCGGAGACUUCUGCAGGAAUGAUGAUGCUAAGAAGAGUGGGUAAUAGACAGCAGUUCUCCAAUGUCCCUGAUAAGGGAACCCUCUUCAGUCAGGUGGCUCCUGGAACCCUUAUUCAGUAGAACGGCUCUGUCCCUGUUCCUCGGUUCAAACCCUUCAUUGUCUCAGUUAACCUUUCAAACUAGAUGACUCAAUACCUUGUAUUUUCUAUAUGAUUUUUUUUAAAGAAUUUGACCAUGUUUUAGAAAAGAUCCAUCCACCAGCUUGAAGUGAGAGAAGGACUAUUAAAAAGGUUUCAGAUGGCCUUAUCAUCUGCAGCUUUAAGGAAGGGCAGAGGCCCAGAGAGAUGAAACAGUUGCCCAUGGCCGCACUGCUGGCCAUGCAGUGCAGCACUGGGCAGCAUGGCUGUGUGGUGCCUGUCGGCUGGCUCAGAGUCCCCCUGCAGGCCCCGUACCUUUCCAUGCAUGAUCUCCUUUGAGCCUGAGGUCAUGGCGCCUGCCUUGUUUCCCAGUUUGUCCUUAACCCAUGCUUCUUGAAAGGAUUUAUGCAGCUCCCUUAUGCCAAUUAUUGUUUAGCCAUUUUUCCUUUGUCCUCUUUUUGGAUGGAGAAAUCCUUUGCCAAAUAUUUUUCAGUAACAUAUUUGAAGGCAGAGUAAUACAUUGGGAGCAACCAGAUCCACUUAUCUGGAACAGCAUCUUCCUUACUCGCCAACUUUCUCACCUGUGAGGUCAGCGCUUCCUUCCGAGGUGUCUCUGCACCUAGAGGCUUGGCCCAGCCAAAAGCGAGAGGGUAGGUGGUAUCACGUGUGUUAGGGUCCUGGCAUUAGGUCUCUAGUCUACCGAGUGAGGUGGGCAGGGUUUCGUAUCAAAGGGAUCCAGUAACAGUGUGCUGUGGUUCAGGCAAACAGCUGGCACCCGUUCUCUAAAGGCUGGUAGAACUCAGCGAAGGGCUGGCAGGCAGCUUGCAACACACUCCAGCUGUCACUGCAAGAGGCAGGGUGGUGGAAACUAGCAAGAGAUAUACGAGGCUGGGAGUUUAGAACUGAGAGCAUGAUCAGGACUGAAGCAGCGAUGGGGAUGAAUUGAUGCUGAGUCUCAGGGUAUGCUACCACGCCGCUCUCCAAUCUUUCCUACCCAAAGUAACGAUUGCCCUGCAGAUGCCCGAUGGCGCCUGUGCGCUCACACACUUGGAGAGGCAAAGGCUGAGCACCAAUAGUGCCCUCUGCUUUCCCUCUUGUACCACUUAUAAUCCUGAUCCUGAUCUUCACUUUCUGAAGAUGGAGACAAUACCUGAGCACAGUGCUACCCCAGAGGGGCUCAGUAAAUGCUUUCAGAAUGAACAGGUGCAUGAAGGAGCGAAUGAAUGAAUGGAUGGGAACCAUUUAACAGUAGUGGAGACGGCGAUGCUCAGGAAGCUGGAAAUCUAGGUCCUUACGUUGCUGUGGGCAGAUGCAUCUGCUGAGUCCUGACACAGUGAUUUUGCCAGGCCACUCAGACUUGAGUGGCUUGUGUCUGAGUCAAUGCUGACCAGGCAGCCUGGAUAUGGCAUGAAGUUGAACUAACCUGGGUGGAAGCAAACGCAGUUGGAUCCCGAGGCUGUAAGUCUGUUUCCAUUUUGAACAAUUUGUCCAGUAAACAUUUAGCAGGCUGUGCUUCACCUCACUGAGGAUAAAAGGGAAGCUUUGGAUCAGAAUCCUGGGGCCAGACGUUGGACCAGCAGCGACAUAUCUAAAA
rnacentral:lncRNA from 1 species